ensembl:lncRNA
CACACACACACACACACACACACACACACACACACACACACACACACACACACACACAGGAGGUUCUGGAUCCAGUGUGGAGACAGCUGCUCUGCAGGUCUACAGUAAAACCCUAACACACACACACACACUAUCCUAGCUGGAAAGUCCCUAAUGAUUCUUUUUUUCCAGCCCGGUAAGCAUAGCUGUUGUAACAGUGCGAAGGCUAUAAUUUGGCUAGGCUGGGUACCAAGGUGAAAUUAGCCUUACACUGCAUGGGUGUUAAGAUAUGGAAUCCAAAAAAAGGUCUGGGAAACAUAUACUUUGUUUUAAUUAAUGGGCAGUCGAAGCACAAUGACACCCCUUCCUGGCUGAUCCUGUUCCUUCUCGUCUGGUACACCCACUGUCCCUGUGUCUGGUUUCACCUCUCAGAUCCUAUUGAAGUAGUAGUUAUUGACCUAGGAGAUGGGGUCAGGGUCAGGGUCAGUAGUAGUUAUCGACCUAGGAGAUGAGGUCAGGGUCAGUAGUAGUUAUUGACCUAGGAGAUGGGGUCAGGGUCAGUAGUAGUUAUUGACCUAGGAGGUGGGGUCAGGGUCAGUAGUAGUUAUUGACCUAGGAGAAGGGGUCAGGGUCAGUAGUAGUUAUUGACCUAGGAGAUGAGGUCAGGGUCAGUAGUAGUUAUUGACCCAGGAGGUGAGGUCAGGGUCAGUACUAGUUAUUGACCUAGGAGACGGGGUCAUGGUCAGUAGUAGUUAUUGACCUAGGAGAUUAGGUCUGGGUCAGUAGUAGUUAUUGACCCAGGAGAUGGGGUCAGGGUUAGUCGUAGUUAUUGACCUAGGAGAUGGGGUCAGGGUCAGUAGUAGUUAUUGACCUAGGAGAUUAGGUCUGGGUCAGUAGUAGUUAUUGACCUAGGAGAUGGGGUCAGGGUCAGUAGUAGUUAUUGACCUAGGAGAUGGGGUCAGGGUCAGUAGUAGUUAAUGACCUAGGAGAUGGGGUCAUGGUCAGUAGUAGUUAUUGACCUAGGAGAUGGGGUCAGGGUCAGUAGUAGUUAAUGACCUAGGAGAUGGGGUCAGGGUCAGUAGUAGUUAUUGACCUAGGAGAUGGGGUUAGGGUGAGGGUCAGUAGUAGUUAUUGACCUAGGAGAUGGGAUCAGGGUCAGGGUUAGUAGUAGUUAUUGACCUAGGAGAUGCGGUCUUGGUCAGAAUAGUUAUUGACCUAGGAGAUGGGGUCAGGGUCAGUAGUAGUUAUUGACCUAGG